GACGAACGCUGGCGGCGUGCUUAACACAUGCAAGUCGAACGGAAAGGCCUCUUUCGGGGGGUACUCGAGUGGCGAACGGGUGAGUAACACGUGAGUAACCUGCCCUUUACUUUGGGAUAACUUCAGGAAACUGGGGCUAAUACCGGAUAGGAGCUCCUGCUGCAUGGUGGGGGUUGGAAAGUUUCGGCGGUUGGGGAUGGACUCGCGGCUUAUCAGCUUGUUGGUGGGGUAGUGGCUUACCAAGGCUUUGACGGGUAGCCGGCCUGAGAGGGUGACCGGCAACAUUGGGACUGAGAUACGGCCCAGACUCCUACGGGAGGCAGCAGUGGGGAAUAUUGCACAAUGGGUGGAAGCCUGAUGCAGCAACGCCGUGUGCGGGAUGACGGCCUUCGGGUUGUAAACCGCUUUCGCUCAUGACGAAGCUUUGUGUGACGGUAGUGGGUAAAGAGGCACCGGCUAACUACGUG
rnacentral:rRNA from 1 species